AUGAGUAACGAAAAAGGGUAACCCCCUCGCCUUAAGCUUAUGGUAUUAACACCGUAAUUAAAGUAACGGCCCCUAAGUUUAUAAACCUUUCCUAAAGGAUUAAAUGAUGGGUGAAUCUCGCGUAUAUUUAACAUUUAUGAAUUAGUGUAGGAUUAUUAAUCUAAAGUGAUAAAUGUUCUGGAAAAAAUAUAUGCUGGUAUUUUUAUAUAUUGUAUUGACCGUACCUAGACACUACCACAAGUAAGCAAGUAGAGAAUACAAAGGCGUUUGAGAUAACAAUCAUUAAGGAACUCGGCAAAUUGACUCCGUAACUUCGGGAUAAGGUGUGCCAUUAUUAUUAAGUAAUAAGAGGAGACAUAAAAUGGUGUUGUACGACUGUUUAAUUAAAACAAAGCACUUUGCAUAAGAUAAUAAAUCAAAGUAUUGAGUGUGAUUUCUGCCCAAUGUUGGCUGGUUAACGAAUUUUCUUAGUCAAAUAACACUAGGCUAGGUUUUGAAGGAACCCCCAAUCAAUGGCGGCCUUACCGAUGAGGGUCCUAAGG
rnacentral:ncRNA from 1 species